rnacentral:antisense_RNA from 1 species
CUUCACGGAGCCCAGCAGCAGCGGCCGGUCCUCGCUGUGGUCGCGGCCGUACGUGGCCAGCAGGGCCUGUGCCUC